rnacentral:rRNA from 1 species
AACAAACGCUGGCGGCGUGCCUAAUACAUGCAAGUCGAACGGGGAAAGCUUUCGGGUGAGUACUAGUGGCGCACGGGUGAGUAACGCGUGGAUAAACUGCCCUCGAAUGGGGAAUAACUAGUCGAAAGAUUAGCUAAUACCGCAUAAGACCACGACUACUGAGGUAGUUGGGGUCAAAGGAGCAAUUCGUUUGAGGAUGAGUCCGCGUAAGAUUAGCUAGUUGGUGAGGUAAUGGCUCACCAAGGCGAUGAUCUUUAACUGGUCUGAGAGGAUGAUCAGUCACACUGGAACUGAGACACGGUCCAGACUCCUACGGGAGGCAGCAGUAGGGAAUAUUGGACAAUGGGGGCAACCCCGAUCCAGCGACGCCGCGUGAGCGAUGAAGGCCUUCGGGUCGUAAAGCUCUGUUGUAAGGGAAAAAGUUCUGAUUGUACCUUACGAGAAAGGAUCGGCUAACUUCGUGCCAGCCGCCGCGGUAAAAC